UGAAACGGAGCAAAGAAAUAUCACAACAGCAUUGGCAUGAAGCUUGCAAAAGAAAAGGAUUGAUUUCUACAGUGUGUGCAGAUUUUGCUGCCUAUAUUUGGAGCCAGGAUGACUUCUUUAAACGACUCCCUCGUCAGCACCUGACCUGGUGCCCACAGCUACACCAGAACAAGAGAUUCUGAAGUGAACAACAGAGGGGAGUACUGAAACAUUUGGGAAGAGGAAGCCCUCUCCUAAUAAAUGGAUGCUGACUGCAUGUUGUAAAACAGCAUUGGACUUUACUGGAAAGAGAAAGUCCAUGAAUUCAUCACUGAUACAGGAUGUACAGACUUAAGCUUUUAUUUUGAAGUCUAUAACUUUCCUACUGAGUAACGUCAGCUGUCUGUCAGUCUGCAGACAACACCACGGGCAUUGAUGUGUCUCAGAAGCAGCUCCAUCUCCUCCCAGCCACAACCAAGUGUGGUGGUGCUGCUCCUCCCUCCUGUUCCUGAGAAAACUUCCCUUCUUAUUAGUCAAGUAAGUCAUUUCAGUGAGUCAGACAACGGUUUCCAAAACAAUCUUUGGGUGAUGGCUCUGCAAGCAGUUAAGUGAAAAGAGAAAUCUGCUGUGCAAAGCUUCUUUGUUUAUUGCUUUUGCUGACUGGCUAAAAGUGAGGUCACAGCAAGCUCGGAGGGCUUGAUAGAAAUGAAAUAAUUUAACUGGAAAAUACAUCUUGAGAAAGAUGACUCUGCAAAAUGCCACACUUAGCAAUCUUAUAUUCAUACCUUUAAUAGUUGUCAUUAAAAUGUGAUUAUCUAUAAAUGAAAAUGUGUAUGGUUUCCAGAUUUAUGCAACUCAAGCAUAUUGCUACAGUAAUUUUGCAUGAAAAUGCACCAAGGUAUUCUCAGCCAGCAUCAAAAUUAAUCAAUGAAAGCAAAUAAUUUCCAUUCCUAGGGUGAUCCCAACUCCACUGAUAUUGGGAAAUCUCCCAGUGGCACAGAGUCAUGAAAUA